rnacentral:rRNA from 1 species
CAAUAGCGUAUAUUAAAGUUGUUGCAGUUAAAAAGCUCGUAGUUGGAUUUCUGGUAGGAGUGACCGUGCCAGACUUGAUUGUCUGUGUAUUGUGUUGUCUCCAGCCAUCCUUGUGGAGAACUUUUCUUGCAUUAAUUUGUAGGGAUUGGGACCCGCAUCGUUUACUGUGAAAAAAUUAGAGUGUUUAAAGCAGGCAAUCGCUUGAAUACAUUAGCAUGGAAUAAUACGAUAGGACUUUGGUACUAUUUUGUUGGUUUGCAUACCAAAUUAAUGAUCAACAGGAACAGUUUGAGGAUAUUCGUAUGAACAUGUCAGAGGUGAAAUUCUUGGAUUUUGAUCAGACGAACUACUGCGAANGNAUUUAUNAAGGAUGUUUNCAUUA